rnacentral:snoRNA from 1 species
AAGCCAAUCAAUUAAUCCACUUAUCCGAAUGUGUUUCUGCAGAAAUUUAGAAAAAGCUGGCAACAGUGAAGUCCUGUUACAACAACUGUCCUGUUAGGACAACUGAGGUCAUCAAGUUCCCUGAAGAUGGCUACAAUU